GACGAACGCUGGCGGCGUGCUUAACACAUGCAAGUCGAGCGGUAAGGCCCUUUCGGGGGUACACGAGCGGCGAACGGGUGAGUAACACGUGGGUGACCUGCCCUCAGCUCUGGGAUAAGCCCGGGAAACUGGGUCUAAUACUGGAUAUGACUCCAUGACGCAUGUUGUGGGGUGGAAAGCCUUGUGCGGCUGAGGAUGGGCCCGCGGCCUAUCAGCUUGUUGGGGGGGUGAU
rnacentral:rRNA from 1 species